UUUAUGGAGAGUUUGAUCCUGGCUCAGGACGAACGCUGGCGGCGUGCUUAACACAUGCAAGUCGAACGGUGAAGGAGAGCUUGCUCUCCGGAUCAGUGGCGAACGGGUGAGUAACACGUGGACAAUCUGCCCCUGACUUCGGGAUAACUCCUCGAAAGAGGUGCUAAUACCGGAUAUGAACCUUGCAGGCAUCUGCAGGGUUGGAAAGUUUUUCGGUCAGGGAUGGGUCCGCGGCCUAUCAGCUAGUUGGUGAGGUAAUG
rnacentral:rRNA from 1 species